rnacentral:rRNA from 1 species
UACGUAGGGGGCUAGCGUUGUCCGGAAUCAUUGGGCGUAAAGGGCGCGUAGGCGGCACGGCAAGUCAGGAGUGAAAGCCCUGGGCUCAACCCGGGAACUGCUUUUGAAACUGCCGAGCUAGAGUGCGGAAGGGGCAACUGGAAUUCCCAGUGUAGCGGUGAAAUGCGUAGAUAUUGGGAAGAACACCUGAGGCGAAGGCGGGUUGCUGGGCCGACACUGACGCUGAUGCGCGAAAGCCAGGGGAGCGAACGGG